GCUAUAAUGGUAGUUAAGGGGCACAGAUACAUUGAAAUCUGCCCCCCUUGCCAGACUGGCAUCUCCACUGGCCUUAGUCAUCCCUACUUGUCCAACUUAUUCUUGUACAAUAGUGCCUUCUGUCUGGAAGGCCCUGCCCACCCCUAACAAGUCGCAGUCUAUACUUUCUGCAAGGGUCAGUUAAAAUCCUUCCUCUCCUAAUGUUAGACCUCAGUGAUCCCUCCUUCCCCACAGUCUACAGCACAGUCCACAACACAGACCAACGCUUGUUUUACUCUGCUAGGAUGCUCAAUUUUUCUCAGUAUUCCUUCCAGAAGCUUCUCAAAGGCAAGGGGGGUGUAGUUUCUUCAGUUACCUCAUUAUUUCCCUAGACCCCUGCAUGAGGCUGGUACGCAGCAACAUUUAAAUGAUACUUGCUGAGGUCCUGCUGACCCACAACUGACCCAUUAGAAGCCAGUCAGACAGGGUUGGGUUGGAAGGUGGCCCCAAGGACAGUGUCUUAGGCUGGAGGGAGAUGCCUGACACUGAAGGAGGCUGGUCCUCCCAGUUGUCCUCUGCCAACAUCCAGGAAUGAGGGCUCUACAUGAGGGGCUGUCUGUGGAUAUAGCUGGUUCACCCAGUCUGCAUCUGAGCCCUAGAAGUCAAGUACCACAUCUUAUACUUUUCCUGUGUACCCUCUAGAUGUACCCAGUACUGUGCUGAGAACAUGGUGUUUCCAAAAAUAUUUGUUCAAUCAAAGCACUAAUUCAGUUUGGGAGGGGACUACUUUGAUGUUCCAAUUUUUUGUUUCUGUUCAAUAAGCUAAAUAUGGUUCUGGUUCAAAUUGUUUUAUCAUGGUUCUUCAUGCUAGAAUUUAAGCUCCAAGAGGGCAGAGAUUAUUCAUCUCUUUUUCAGUCAUGUUCCUGUCACCUAACACAGUACCUGGGACAUAGUAAGUUUUUAAUAAGUAUCUACUGAAUGAAGCGUAUCCUCAAGGCUCCAUUUUGUGUGGGUGGUUCUCCUUUUCCAUGCUCUGCCUGCUCCCCUUAUCUAUUUCCGGAGACACCUACCUUUAUAGCUGGCCUCCUCUUGGAUGUCUUGUAGGCAUAUGUCCAAAAUGGAAAUCUGUACCUUCCUCCAAAACUAUCUGUCUUUAUGUGCUAGCCCCUAUCCAGUCAAUGACAUCACUUACCUAGCAACUUGUAACAGAACUAAGUCUACUUUGUAUUUGUUUUUCUCUUCCUUGCGCCUAAUUCUCUCCCAUCUAUGAUGUAGAUUAGAUUAGCCAGGCAUGAAAGGCUCUUUAAGAUGUAGCCCUGCCUCACCGCUCACCAUCUCAUGUACCCCUGGACUCUAAGCAGAGUGAACUGCUCCCCACAGGUCAGGCUCUUUCACCUGGCUAUGCCUUUGCAUACACAGUUCACUAUAACUAGAAUUUUCUCGUUUACAGGAUGUCUAUUCAUCUUUGAGGUCCAGCUCCACUGUCUCUCUUCCCGGGAUACAUCCAGUGUUGUGGCAGCUUCCUCCUCUUGCUCCCUAGCAUUUUGUCCAGGUUUCAUCACAACACCUAGAACAAUAAAUUCUAUCACUGCCUGUCUCCUGCCUCAUGAUAGGAACUUCUUAAGGGAGUGAGUAGAUGUAUGAAAAUGGAACAUCUCUACCUGCAAACAGGAACAGGAACCAGGGAGAUCUUUGGAAAGCUCUCAGCAUACUACCAUUCACUAAUAAGAACAAUAAAAACUGAGAAGGUUUUACUAAGUAUCAGGAACUCAUUUAAUUCUUCCCCUGAGUUAAAAUGAGGGAUAGAAGCUCAGAGAGAAGUAACUUGCCAAGACUUGAAAUCAAGCUUCCCAGAUGCAGUACUUUCCUGCCUGAUGAUAUCUGCCACAUUCAGACUCAGUUUCUCAGGACAAGAGGGGGUGUGGAAAGGGAGUUCCUCAAGAGGUAAUGGCCAGUUUAUUGGAGCAGAUGGGGGAAUCUGUGUUUUCAACCACGUGGGUGAAGACAGGAGAUGGCACAUCAGCUGUUGCAAAGGAUACACAGCAACUGGGUAUCAAUACUUUCCGCUCUGUCAAGGGGAUCCCUGAAGUGGAACACAGUAGAAUGACUGACUUUAGGGUGCCGGAAAGAAUGUGCUGGAAGCCUCCCAUUAUACAGGCUGUGUUCCAGCCCUUAUGAGGACCUACAGCAGAAGUUUUUCUUCAGUCAUCUCAGUUUACCCAAAAGAUGAUUCUCUGUUUUACAGAAGCUGACAAAUGUUGGUAGGAAAAUGUGAGGUCCACACAAGGAGGAUGAAUGUCCUGAAUUACAUUCAUUACAAAGUCAACCUUACAGUUGUGAUACGUAGAGAGCAGACUUUUCAUAUAAGAUCUCAAUAGGCUGCCUAAACCUACUUACCUAAACUGUUAUUCAAAGAAAUACAGUUGUUUGUGGAGGACACAAUUUAAGUUAGAAAAUGUAACAUUAAAAAUUUUAAUUUAUUUAUGAGGAAAAAAACAACAAAAAUGAAGACAGUUGGUGAUACUAGAUAGUCUAUAAAUGAACUAACAAGAUAACCACUAGCCACAAGUGGCUAUUUAACUUUAAAUUAAAUUCAUGAAAAUAAAGAUGAAAAAUUCAGUUUCUCAGUUGCAUUGGCAACUCAAUGCAUUUCAAGCGCUCAAUUGCCACAUGUGGCUACUGGCCACCAUACUGGACAAUAAAGAUACAGAACAUCUCCAUCACAGUACAGAGUUCUUUUGGACAGUGCUGAGUAAUUGAGACUCUGUAUAAUAUAGAGUCUAUGUAUUCCACAAGAUCACUUUCAGCUCUGAAUCUCUGCUAUGAAUCUUAGGAUUACAGAUGAAGGAAAGAAAAAAGAAGAAGUGUGUCUUAAACAUAACUUAAGCAACCCAGAGGAACAAAAAACUCGCAUCAUCACUACUACCACAGGGCCUCCCAGCAUCCAAGAUAUAAAAUGGCUUCAGUGCGUUCUGUUUCCUACAACUGAACACUCCCUGACACAGCUGCUCUCUCUUUCUCCCACUUUCCUUAGAAAGUCUCA